CUCCCCGGGAACCUGGUGCCCUCCUCCCCGGGAACCUGGUGCCCUCCUCCCCGGGAACCUGGUGCCCUCCUCCCCCUUACUCCAAUCCCAAUGCAUGGAUAGAGGCUUAACGGUGUUUGUGGCAGUUCAUGUCCCGGAUGUGUUACUAAAUGGGUGGCGCUGGAGGCUUGGGGCGAUACCACCACUCGUUUGUCUGUUGGCGAUUAGUGUUGUCCCCCCGAGUGGCCAGCGUGGCCCCGUACCAUUCAGGACACGAGUUGCAACGGGCGCGCACUGAAGCUAGCGUGCCCUCCCGAGGAGUGUCAGUAAAAUAAAAUACAAAAACACAAUCACGGUUGCACCAAGCACAACAUCAAACACAUACAAUGCUGAAGAGCAGGCGUAUCGAGGGCAUACCCGUGGCUCAUAACACAGUCACAGUUCAGAAGGCCGGCACGCGGUGUCAACCAGGCCACCAUUCCUCUCCGCAUUAAAGCACUCGGUGGGGGAGGGUGCCCUGGUUGACACAAUGUGCCGCGCAUCAACCAGCGCGACGGAAGUUGGCCUCCAGCAAAGCACAUUUUGCACGCAAAUGGUGUCCGCUCUCCCAAACCACACGAAUGGCACCAUGGCAAAAAACACCCCCCACAAUGUAUUGACCUUGUUUGUUAAUGAAAGUGUGGCACUGACUUCGGCAGACGCCAAGUGGUGGAUAUAGAACCACCUUUCAUGGCAGUACAUUGCAGCAUGUGCCACAUGUUCAAAAGCAAUAAACAGAUUAAAAGAA
rnacentral:misc_RNA from 1 species